GUGCUACCUGACCUGAAAAACCCAAGUGAAGUUGGGAGCAGAGAAAGAAGAAAGAGAAGCUCAAGAUGGUGAAGGUCGCAACCUACUUCGCUAUGACUUUGGGAGCUUUCGUUUUCUGGCAAACCAUGGAUAAAGUCCAUGUCUGGAUCGCUCUGCAUCAGGACGAGAAGCAAGAAAGAUUGGAAAGGGAAAUGGAAGUUAAGAGAUAUAGAGAAGAGCUACUUCAAGAGCAAGCAAGACAAAAGAAGGCUGAAGCAUGAGCUACCUUCGAUCAUCUUGUACGCUGUUUUCCCUUAUUUUCCUCUAAUUGCUCUUUUGUUGGGGUGUUUUUCAACAAUAUGAUUGUUCUGGAAUAAUUUUACUUGGCAUUCACUGAAGAGCUAAGAUGUUGACUCUGUAUAAGAUUUUCAACAAUUUAUAUUAUGCUAUUCAAUGUUCUAGUAAGUAGUAACACAUUGCAAUGUUGUUCACCUGAUGUUGAGGCAGUAACAAAUUGUGGAAUUGUUUCUAGCAUUAAUUUCAACCUAAAUUGUGGAAUAG